rnacentral:lncRNA from 1 species
GUAGUUCACACCCCAGAUUUUGAAGUCAACACAGUCCCAUUAGUUUUCUUUGCAGCCUCGUUUGAAUGUCGCGGUUGCGCACAUUUGUACGGAAUGGGAGGACCUGAGCCCUGGGACCAUGCCUCAGGACUACCUGACCUGAUGACUCCUUGCUGUCCCCAGUCCACCUGGUCAUGCUGCUGCUCCAGUUCCAACUGUUCUGCCUGUGGCUAUGGAACCCUGACCUGUUCACCGUACGUGCUACCUUGUCCCGGACCUGCUGUUUUCGACUCUCUCUCUACCGCACCUGCUGUUUCUAACUCUGAAUGAUCGGCUAUGUAAAGCCAACUGACAUUUUCUCCUGAGGUGCUGACCUGUUGCACCCUCUACAACCACUGUGAUUAUUAUUAUUAUUAUUAUUAUUAUUCAUCUAUGAACGUUUGAAUAUCUUGGCCAUGUACUGUUAUAAUCUCAACCCGGCACAGCCAGAAGAGGACAUCUGCAUUGCCUGCUCUUUGGGGUUUUAGGCUGGGUUUAUGUAUAGCACUUUGUGACAUCGGCUGAUGUAAAAAGGGCUUUAUAAAUGCAUUUGAUUGAUUGAUGUAGCUGCUCAGUGUAAAGGAAAGAAAAGAUGUGCCAAGUGUGGUGGAGCACAUGAUUACGGUGAAUGUGGAAGCAAUGUGAAGGUCAAGUGCUGUAAUUGUGGGGGAGAACACAGUGCAGCAUUUGGUGGAUGCCAGGUACAGAGAGAGGCUAGAGCCGCUCAGAUAUAGGAUCAGUCAUGAUGAAUCGUAUGCAGAGGCCAUAAAACAGAUAGGUAGAACUACAGUGCAGACUGAUGGAUGUACCUGUAGUAAGUGGACCUAUUGUCGGGGCUGGUGCUUCUGAUAGUCCGGGCAUGGUUUUGAGGCCUGUUCGGAAAUCUUGUGCCCAUGAAUGUGCAGGGUCAAAGGACACUUUGAUAAUGAAUAAAGUUGACUCAAUAGAUUUUAUUGGUAAGGUUAUCAAUACGACUUGGGUUGUGGAAAGCCAAAAAUGCCAGGUUGAAGGUUAUUCUGGAGAUGGUAAAAGAGAUAUUCGGGGCAACAGAUGUUACUGUUGAGUGUUUCAGCAUGAUAUAGAUCAAGUUUAAUGGGGGUGGUAGAAGUUUAGGGAUUUAUUUGGUUUGGAAUUAUAUUUUCAUGGUAGUACAGGAUUGGGCAGAUCAUGAUUGAUCGUGCGUUCCAGCACCGUCGGUGGCGGCAUGCACUUAAACGAUUGUUUGCGGACCGCCAUGAUAUCAUACUUUUGUUUACUUUCAAAUUCUUCUAUGAAUAGUUUUCUUGGAUAACGUAAGCAUAGUUUAUUGCAAAAGUAUAUUAUUUUGGGUAGGUUGCAACUGAUGUGAAAAUAUUGAAAAUCUUCUAAUUAGCAUUAGCUCCACCGUCAUCUGUCAUAUGCAUGCAACUGGAGAGCUAAACAAUGUCUCAUUCUUUUCAUUUAGUUCUAACCUAGGCAAAUAAGAACAUUUACAAUGUAAAUUGCAGUUAUGUCUAAAAAUUUGCCCUAAGUUAAUUCAGCCAUUUAUCUAUGGCAAUUGAAGAUUGCACGGCCCAUAUCCCAUAGGGCGGCGCACAAUUGGCCCAGCGUCGGCUGGGGUAGGCCGUCAUUGUAAAUAAGAAUUUCUUCUUGCUGUUUUUAUUACUUAAACGUAUCAGUGCUAAAUCUGCUAAUGUCUUGCUGAUGUUAUUGAUAAGAUGAAGGAAAAUGGAGAACAGUCAUUUGUAGGCUAGGCAAAGUAUGUGUUUGGUGCUUCAUGGGCAUGUUUUUAUUAAACAUGAUGUGGAUGAACAAAAUACUUAUGUACUGUAUAGUAUGAUGCAAGAAGGCUGCAAGAUACAAUUCAUCAACAGCCCGUCCUAGGUUUCACACCUGGGGUUAUCUUCCAUUACUUGUUUCUCUUUUGUUCCUAUUUGAGAUGGAC